GUUUAAUAGCUGUGUUCAGUAGCUCAGUGUUUAAUAGCUCAGUGUUUAAUAGCUGUGUUCAGUAGCUCAGUGUUUAAUAGCUCAGUGUUUAAUAGCUGUGUUCAGUAGCUCAGUGUUUAAUAGCCGUGUUCAGUAGCUCAGUGUUUAAUAGCUGUGUUCAGUAGCUCAGUGUUUAAUAGCUCAGUGUUUAAUAGCUGUGUUCAGUAGCUCAGUGUUUAAUAGCUGUGUUCAGUAGCUCAGUGUUUAAUAGCUGUGUUCAGUAGCUCAGUGUUUAAUAGCUGUGUUCAGUAGCUCAGUGUUUAAUAGCUGUGUUCAGUAGCUCAGUGUUCAGUAGCUCAGUGUUUAAUAGCCGUGUUCAGUAGCUCAGUGUUCAGUAGCUCAGUGUUUAAUAGCUGUGUUCAGUAGCUCAGUGUUUAAUAGCCCCGUGUUCAGUAGCUCAGUGUUCAGUAGCUCAGUGUUCAGUAGCUCAGUGUUUAAUAGCCGUGUUCAGUAGCUCAGUGUUCAGUAGCUCAGUGUUUAAUAGCCGUGUUCAGUAGCUCAGUGUUUAAUAGCUCAGUGUUUAAUAGCCGUGUUCAGUAGCUCAGUGUUUAAUAGCUCAGUGUUUAAUAGCCGUGUUCAGUAGCUCAGUGUUCAGUAGCUCAGUGUUUAAUAGCCGUGUUCAGUAGCUCAGUGUUCAGUAGCUCAGUGUUUAAUAGCCGUGUUCAGUAGCUCAGUGUUUAAUAGCUCUGUGUUCAGUAGCUCAGUGUUCAGUAGCUCAGUGUUUAAUAGCCGUGUUCAGUAGCUCAGUGUUCAGUAGCUCAGUGUUUAAUAGCUGUGUUCAGUCGCUCAGUGUUCAGUAGCUCAGUGUUUAAUAGCUGUGUUCAGUCGCUCAGUGUUCAGUAGCUCAGUGUUUAAUAGCUGUGUUCAGUAG
ensembl:lncRNA